GAUGAACGCUGGCGGCGUGCCUAAUACAUGCAAGUCGAGCGAACAGACGAGGAGCUUGCUCCUCUGACGUUAGCGGCGGACGGGUGAGUAACACGUGGAUAACCUACCUAUAAGACUGGGAUAACUUCGGGAAACCGGAGCUAAUACCGGAUAAUAUAUUGAACCGCAUGGUUCAAUAGUGAAAGACGGUUUUGCUGUCACUUAUAGAUGGAUCCGCGCCGCAUUAGCUAGUUGGUAAGGUAACGGCUUACCAAGGCAACGAUGCGUAGCCGACCUGAGAGGGUGAUCGGCCACACUGGAACUGAGCCACGGUCCAGACUCCUACGGGAGGCAGCAGUAGGGAAUCUUACGCAAUGGGCGAGAGCCUGACGGAGCAACGCCGCGUGAGUGAUGAAGGUCUUCGGAUCGUAAAACUCUGUUAUUAGGGAAGAACAAAUGUGUAAGUAACUAUGCACGUCUUGACGGUACCUAAUCAGAAAGCCACGGCUAACUACGUG
rnacentral:rRNA from 1 species